CGUACGGGUGCGAUCCCUCCCUCUGUCUUACUUGUGGAAAGGGAUGCAAUGGUGCGAUUUGGAGCGAAUCCUGCAAAUGCUGCCCCAGUUUGGAUUGCUCUCUGCAACUCGAGAGCAUGAGGGUAGACUCACUAGUAAUCGUGCAUCAGAACGCCACGGUGACUCUGUACUUG
rnacentral:ncRNA from 1 species